CGUUCCCGGACCUUGUACACACCGCCCGUCAAGCGAUGGAAGCUGGGAGGACCUGAAGACAGUUGCUGUAAGGCGCUGUUUAGGGUAAAACCGGUGACUGGCGCU
rnacentral:rRNA from 1 species